rnacentral:rRNA from 1 species
AGAGUUUGAUCAUGGCUCAGAUUGAACGCUGGCGGCAUGCCUAACACAUGCAAGUCGCACGCGAAAGCGGGGGCAACCCGCAAGUAGAGUGGCGGACGGGUGAGUAACGCGUAGGAAUCUACCUCGUAGUGGGGGACAACCCGGCGAAAGCGNNCUAAUACCGCAUACGAUCCAUGGAUGAAAGCAGGGGCCGCAAGGCCUUGCGCUAUGAGAUGAGCCUGCGUCGGAUUAGCUAGUUGGUGAGGUAACGGCCCACCAAGGCGACGAUCCGUAGCUGGUUUGAGAGAACGACCAGCCACACCGGAACUGAGACACGGUCCGGACUCCUACGGGAGGCAGCAGUGGGGAAUAUUGGACAAUGGGGGCAACCCUGAUCCAGCAAUGCCGCGUGUGUGAAGAAGGCCUUCGGGUUGUAAAGCACUUUCGGUGGGGACAAACAAGGCGGAGCUAACAUCUUCGUCCCUGAUGGUACCCAAAGAAGAAGCACCGGCUAACUCUGUGCCAGCAGCCGCGGUAAUACAGAGGGUGCAAGCGUUAAUCGGAAUUACUGGGCGUAAAGCGUGCGUAGGUGGUUUGUUAAGUCAGGUGUGAAAUCCUCGGGCUCAACCCGGGAACUGCGCUUGAUACUGACAGACUCGAGUGUGGUAGAGGAUAGUGGAAUUCCCGGUGUAGCGGUGAAAUGCGUAGAUAUCGGGAGGAACAUCAGUGGCGAAGGCGGCUAUCUGGACCAACACUGACACUGAGGUACGAAAGCGUGGGUAGCAAACAGGAUUAGAUACCCUAGUAGUCC